rnacentral:lncRNA from 1 species
GAUCCACAAAAGCGGCAUACAUACAAUCGAUUUCGGGACGGCGGCCGCCGGCAAGACGCACGACGAUGGGCGCCACCCACGGGUACUCUCCGCUCCAGCCGGAGGAGGAAGAGAUGCAGCAGGAGCCAUCGCUGGCAGAAAAGAUCUGCGUCUGCAUGGUGGUGUUCAUGGUGCUGUCCACGGUGGUAAUCUUGGUCGUCGCCUGUAUGGGCGGCUUGAUCUUCUACAUGGUCCAGGCCAGCCAGGGGCCGCACUACUACGUCUCCGUCGACUCCGUCAGCGGCCUCGAUCCGGCGACGGACAUCGGACAAAAGCCCGCGCUGCACC